GACGAACGCUGGCGGCGUGCUUAACACAUGCAAGACGAACGGAAAGGCCCUGCUUUUGUGGGGUGCUCGAGUGGCGAACGGGUGAGUAACACGUGAGUAACCUGCCCUUGACUUUGGGAUAACUUCAGGAAACUGGGGCUAAUACCGGAUAGGAGCUCCUGCUGCAUGGUGGGGGUUGGAAAGUUUCGGCGGUUGGGGAUGGACUCGCGGCUUAUCAGCUUGUUGGUGGGGUAGUGGCUUACCAAGGCUUUGACGGGUAGCCGGCCUGAGAGGGUGACCGGCCACAUUGGGACUGAGAUACGGCCCAGACUCCUACGGGAGGCAGCAGUGGGGAAUAUUGCACAAUGGGCGGAAGCCUGAUGCAGCAACGCCGCGUGCGAGAUGACGGCCUUCGGGUUGUAAACCGCUUUCGCCUGUGACGAAGCGUGAGUGACGGUAAUGGGUAAAGAAGCACCGGCUAACUACGUG
rnacentral:rRNA from 1 species